AAGGAAAUCAGGGAAAUCAAUAAAAUUAAUAAUUAGUCCCCCUUUCCAAGCUGAGCAAGGUAUUCCUUGUCUGCAGUCGCAAGUCGUUUCUGAAACAUCGCCCAUUCGUUUUUGCACCUUGCUCUAACCUGUGAAUAGAAAAGGAAGAA